UACAGAGGGUGCGAGCGUUAAUCGGAAUUACUGGGCGUAAAGGGCGCGUAGGCGGUUAUAUAAGUUGGAUGUGAAAUCCCUGGGCUUAACCUAGGAACUGCAUCCAAGACUGUGUGACUAGAGUGCAGUAGAGGAUAGUGGAAUUUCCGGUGUAGCGGUGAAAUGCGUAGAUAUCGGAAGGAACACCAGUGGCGAAGGCGGCUAUCUGGACUGACACUGACGCUGAGGCGCGAAAGCGUGGGUAGCAAAC
rnacentral:rRNA from 1 species